CCGCGCCCUUCAUCUUCAGAAACCUCACCACCACCUUCGCUGUUUUCACCCCUUCACCUUUGCUCACCACCACUCACCGGCGCCCUUCUCCUUCGUCUUCAUCUUCGCUCACCGGCGCCCUUCACCUUCACCUUUGAUGCCCUGUACGCCGCGUACCCCGAACGUAGCGCCGCUACCAGCGAUGUUGUUAGCAGGACGAUUCUCCCUCCGCCAUCGCGCUUCACUCUGUUCGUUGCCUCCACAAGAACGCGCCCGGGGUGUUCACGCUACUCACCAUCGUUACCUUUGUCUCACUCUGUAUCCUCUCUGAAUCUCUACAUCUAGAAUGGAGAUGCCUCAGGGGUUUAGGGGUUUUGAGAUGUUCGUCACUUCCUUCAUCCGCUCCUUGCGGCAUCAUUCACGUCGUCUUCUCCAUUCUCCAUUAGCGUCACAGCAUCUUCUCUCUUCUUCGCCGCUAGCGUCGCGUCGUCUACUCUCUUCUCCGUCGUGAGCGUCGCAUCUUGUCAUCUUCUUCUAUGGACUUGUUCGUCUUCUCCACCGAUGCAAUAGUUUCGUUCAUCAUCUCUGCCAGCGCAACCUUACUUGCCGCUUUCUGCUCUGGCUCCCUUCGUCUCUGCUUCUACUUUCAGAAGCUUGCUGAUUUAGACAGAGAUCCAUCAAGUGCUUGUGACGGUAAAGCAGCAUUUCAACGCGUUUACAAAUGGACAAGAAAACUGAACCUUUUUGAGAAGGAUUAUAUCUUUAUUCCUGUUAACUACAGUCUUCACUGGAAUUGAUUGUCAUUUGUCAUCCUAGUGAAGUGAUAAGCUUCAAAGG